rnacentral:ncRNA from 2 species
UGUCAUUAAAGGGAUGAAGCUCCCCUUUGGAAAUAUCCGAAUCGCUGGCAACGGCUGAUGGCUUCUACAGGAGU